rnacentral:rRNA from 1 species
ACGGGGUGCAGCAGGCGCGAAAUCUUCACAAUGUGCGAAAGCACGAUGAGGGGAUCCCAAGUGCUGGCACGUAAGUGUCAGCUGUUUCUUAGUCUAAAAAACUGAGAGAGUAAGGGCUGGGUAAGACGGGUGCCAGCCGCCGCGGUAAUACCUGCAGCUCAAGUGGUGGCCGCUAUUAUUGGGCCUAAAACGUCCGUAGCCUGUUUAGUAAAUGCUUGGGUAAAUUGUGUAGCUUAACUAUACGAAUACCGGGUAGACUGCUAAACUUGGGACCGGGAGAGGCUAGAGGUACUCCUGGGGUAGAGGUGAAAUUCUGUAAUCCUAGGGGGACCACCAGUGGCGAAGGCGUCUAGCUAGAACGGGUCUGACGGUGAGGGACGAAGCCCUGGGGCGCAAACCGGAUUAGAUACCCGGGUAGUCCAGGGUGUAAACGCUGCUUGCUUGAUGUUAGUUGGGCUCCGAGCCCAACUAGUGUCGGAGAGAAGUUGUUAAGCAAGCUGCCUGGAAGUACGUCGCAAGAC